rnacentral:lncRNA from 1 species
AUUUACACGAAAAGGAAAAAAUAGACUCAAACCCUUAAGAAGGUUGUCGUGCCAUCCAUUAUCGGGAAGAGCCACCAUGUUCACACAAAUUCCACCUUUGGAAAGAACAGUGGGAUUAAGAAAACCAAAGGCUUAUUCCAUGUAAGAACUCAAAUAAGAAACCAAGGCUGGUGCAUGCCUAGCCAAACUAGUGCAACUGACUGCAUACUUUGAGACAGUCAUAGCACCCUAGCGCAAAUGCUCAAACUCUACGCGUCACGCGUCCCCGAGGCUCUGAGGAACAUACUCUCCCUGGAACAAGUCUGAAAAUUGAGCCCAAGUCAGUAAAGCUGCCUCAUCUGGACUGUUUAACUCAUAAGUAUGCCACCACUCAUAGACGGCCCCUCGAAGAUGGAUGGUAGUGAAUGAAACCCCACUCGAUCCUGAUAUACCCAUGGUAUGAAAAAUAUGGUAGCACUCAUCUAGAAAUCCCAAAGCAUUAUCUGAUGCUAAACUAUUGAAGAAAGGUGGCUUAUACUUCUUGAACCUUUCAAGUCUCCGCUGUUCAUCUUCGGAAGCCAUUGCCUUAUCCUCGGGCUGAUCUAGAACUAUGGGCUAUACAAGAAUAAUAUCUGGGACCUGCUCAACAUGUACACGCUGCUUAGGAGUGCGGAUAGCAGGGGUUUAUGCUCCUCCCUCGGCCUGGGAUGUAGCUGCAGCAAGGGGUAGCAACCCUGCAUGAACUAAAGUGGUGUACAUGCUUAUGAACUGUGCUAGAGUCUCUUGGAGUGCUAGCAUGGUAGAAGCACCAGGCGUGUCAGGUGUUUGGGCUCCGGCUGGAACUACUGGUGGUACCUUGGUAGCAAUUUGUGGGUGCUCUGGCUACA